rnacentral:rRNA from 1 species
GUAGGUGGCAAGCGUUGUCCGGAAUUAUUGGGCGUAAAGCGCGCGCAGGUGGUUCUUUAAGUCUGAUGUGAAAGCCCCCGGGCUCAACCGGGGAGGGUCAUUGGAAACUGGGGAACUUGAGUGCAGGAGAGGAAAGUGGAAUUCCACGUGUAGCGGUGAAAUGCGUAGAUAUGUGGAGGAACACCAGUGGCGAAGGCGACUUUCUAGCCUGUAACUGACACUGAGGCGCGAAAGCGUGGGGAGCAAACAGGAUUAGAUACCCUGGUAGUCCACGCCGUAAACGAUGAGUGCUAAGUGUUGGGGGGUUUCCGCCCCUCAGUGCUGCAGCUAACGCAUUAAGCACUCCGCCUGGGGAGUACGGCCGCAAAGACUG